UAGGGAAUCUUCCGCAAUGGACGCAAGUCUGACGGAGCAACGCCGCGUGAGUGAAGAAGGAUUUCGGUUCGUAAAACUCUGUUGUUAGAGAAGAACAGCGCAUAGAGUAACUGUUAUGCGUGUGACGGUAUCUAACCAGAAAGCCACGGCUAACUACGUGCCAGCAGCCGCGGUAAUACGUAGGUGGCAAGCGUUGUCCGGAUUUAUUGGGCGUAAAGCGAGCGCAGGCGGUCAAUUAAGUCUGAUGUGAAAGCCCCCGGCUCAACCGGGGAGGGUCAUUGGAAACUGGUUGACUUGAGUGCAGAAGAGGAGAGGGAAAUUCCAUGUGUAGCGGUGAAAUGCGUAGAUAUAUGGAGGAACACCAGUGGCGAAGGCAACUCUCUGGUCUGUAACUGACGCUGAGGUUCGAAAGCGUGGGUAGCAAACAGG
rnacentral:rRNA from 1 species